CUGUGCAAACAUUUGUCAUAGUGUGCUGUUGUCUUUUGUGGACAUCUUUGUCUCCCCACUCAGCCUGGUGGCAACUGGAGGUCGAGCCUGGAAGAAAGCCGUCCUCAGCACAGACUCGGUGAAGGAAUGAACACAUGAACGGAGAGAGAGAGAAAGCACAAGCAAGGGGAGGGGCAGACGGAGAGGAAGAGAGAAUCCCAAGCAGACUCUGUUCUGGGUGUGGAGCCCAGUACAGGAUCCCAGGAUCAUGCGAUCACAAUGUGAGCUGAAAUCAAGAGUCAGCUGCUUAACUGACUGAACCACCCAGGUGCCCUGCUCGGUAAAUCUUUUAUUGAAUAACUACGUACUGCAAAAAAAGUGAGCUAAUCAUAAUUAUGUACUCUAUGAGCUUUUGCAAAAUGAACACACCUGUGUAACCCGUACUCAGAUCAAGAACCAGAACAUUCUCAGUAUCCUGGGAGUCCCUUCCUGCUGCCUGCCUGCAUGGUUUCCCCUAAAGGUUCCUGCAAGGAUUGCAUGAAAUCACAGAUGGAAAGCCAUUAACACAGUGCCUGGCAGACGGUCUGAUGUAAGUUGGCCAGAACUUUACAGCUCAGCCUCUGUCUCUUCAGAAAGUCUGAAGGAGGGGGUGCCUCCUAGUCCUUCAUCCCCCUGCAGCUGGCUGAGCCAACUCACCU